rnacentral:siRNA from 1 species
UCCACGUGCACUCGAAUUGUUGUA